UCAGGAAUUGAAAUUACUGUUCAAACAAUAAUAAUUCUAGAGGUUCUAGCUACAUAUUUCCAAGUAAUUUUCCAAAAGAUUAGGUGGAUGAAAGCCACAGCACUGCACUGAUUACCACAUAGUAGAGAUUUCUUUGCAUUCAUAUGGGGCCAAAUUGAGAGGCAACAUUCUCCAAAAGUCACCAGGACAAUAGCCAUCACAUCUCUGCAUCAUGUGGGAACAUGCUGGACAAGCCAAGCUGCAGAGCCAAAGCUGCAGGCUACAACAUCACAACCUCUUCCUGACAGUGCUGCUCUUCGCACAGGAAGAAUAUGAAAUCUACAGAGGUACUGGCAACUUAAAAAUAUUUCAAACCUAAGCCAAAAUACCUCAUGCACAAAGCUACAUCAUUGUACUGGUUAUGAGCCAUUCCUGCACCUGGAGAAAGAAUCCGAACAUCAUCCCUGGAUAGUGUUGGCUGAGCAGGCAGGACCUUGAGUAGGUCUCAGCAGGGACAUACAGACUUGGGCCAACAUGAUCACUGUCAUCCAGGUCCCUGGUGCUACAAAAGGCCAGGGCCAGCGAGCAUGAGACUGAGCAGAAGUGGAUUUCCUAGUGGGCGAGCGGCCAUCUCUGGGAUGCCUGGGGAAGCUUCCCUAGGCAGGAUACAAAGUUAUCGCCAGGUCUCUGAGCAUCAGGAGACAGUCAGGGUGGCAUGCACCCAGAAGGGCAGGCAUCCAGUGUCUGGAGAAUGAGACACCUAAGCAGGGCCUUGGCUGAUGGAGCAUCAGUAGGGGUGGGAUAUGAACGAGGCAGGGAGAAUGAGGGAACGUCACAUCCAAAAUCUGGCUAGGUCAGAUAUUUCUUAGGGAAGAUUUUUAGAUCCUAAGAAGCUGAAUAGAGAACCUCAAAGAGAAUGGCAGCGAAACAUCUCCAUCAGGUGUGCAAUUGUUUAAGAUUUCAUCUUUAAGAGGCCAGGAGAUGGAUGGUUAUUCAAGAGAUUGAAAUGUAACAUUUUUAUUUAAAACAUCAUAAAAGUAGAUGUCUAGGGGCCAAAUGGGCAAGUGCUACUCAGUUGAAGGAAUGUAGGAACUCAACAUUUCAGAAUCGUCCCUGCUGGGCUUUGACCAUCUGAUGGAAUUUUGAGACAGCAUGAUGCGACUAGUUCUAGGGUUAAAAAGACGCACUUUAAUGUCACCUGAACAUAACACUUCAGAAGAAGGUGAUAAACUUUUACACCCACCCAGGCUGAAGCUGGAGGGGAGUGGAGUUUCUGAAGCUGUGGCACAUGGUGCACAGGUCCAGCAAGUUCUCGGGCACCAGCAGUGCCCACGGUGGAAGACAGGCAGGACAGACGAGGGUGGAGGAAGGAGCCCAGGGCAGAGCCAGGACAAAGCUUGCUGGACAGUGUCACUCAUGGAGUGCCCCUAGCUUCACCCCAUCUGUGACAAAUAUUUUCAAGAUUUCCAUUAAA
rnacentral:lncRNA from 1 species